AUCCCUCAUUCCACCCCACACCCCCAUCCCCCAUCCCUCAUCCCACCCUCCCAUCCCCCACCCCCCAUCCCACCCUACUCCCCUUCCCACCCCGGCUCAAAUCACACUGACAGCAACCAUGAGGGGCUUGCUUAGCUAAAGCAGCUUUCCUUGUGGCAUGACUCUCUUCGUAAAGCAUUUGCAAGGUCCUAUCCUGAAGUGCACAUUAAAAGGCUGGGCUUUUACCUGAAGCUCUUGGGAACGUGUGAGCAGAGAACUCCUGGGCAUUGUCACUGGCAUCCCUGAGGGCUGGUGCAGUGGUGGCAGCAUUUACAGAGAUGUGGCCUUGCAAAGCAGUGUAAUUUGGCCUUCUCUGCCAGAAUCCAGUUUGCCUCUGGCGAUUUGCUACAGUGG
rnacentral:lncRNA from 1 species